rnacentral:rRNA from 1 species
ACGCACGCUGGCGGCGUGCUUAACACAUGCAAGUCGAACGGAAAGGCCCUGCUUUUGUGGGGUGCUCGAGUGGCGAACGGGUGAGUAACACGUGAGUAACCUGCCCUUGAUUUUGGGAUAACUUCAGGAAACUGGGGCUAAUACCGGAUAGGAGCUCCUGCUGCAUGGUGGGGGUUGGAAAGUUUCGGCGGUUGGGGAUGGACUCGCGGCUUAUCAGCUUGUUGGUGGGGUAGUGGCUUACCAAGGCUUUGACGGGUAGCCGGCCUGAGAGGGUGACCGGCCACAUUGGGACUGAGAUACGGCCCAGACUCCUACGGGAGGCAGCAGUGGGGAAUAUUGCACAAUGGGCGGAAGCCUGAUGCAGCAACGCCGCGUGCGGGAUGACGGCCUUCGGGUUGUAAACCGCUUUCGCCUGUGACGAAGCGUGAGUGGCGGUAAUGGGUAAAGAAGCACCGGCUAACUACGUG